rnacentral:rRNA from 1 species
GGUUAAGCGACUAAGCGUACACGGUGGAUGCCCUGGCAGUCAGAGGCGAUGAAGGACGUGCUAAUCUGCGAAAAGCGACGGCGAGGUGAUAUGAACCUUUGACCCGUCGAUGUCCGAAUGGGGAAACCCAGUGUGUUCCGACACACUAUCGUUAACUGAAUACAUAGGUUAACGAGGCGAACCGGGGGAACUGAAACAUCUAAGUACCCCGAGGAAAAGAAAUCAACCGAGAUUCCCCCAGUAGCGGCGAGCGAACGGGGAGCAGCCCGGAGUCUGAAUCAGCUUGUGUGUUAGUGGAACGGUCUGGAAAGUCCGACGGUACAGGGUGAUAGUCCCGUACACGAAAACACACUUGCUGUGAACUCGAAGAGUAGGGCGGGACACGUGGUAUCCUGUCUGAAUAUGGGGGGACCAUCCUCCAAGGCUAAAUACUCCUGACUGACCGAUAGUGAACCAGUACCGUGAGGGAAAGGCGAAAAGAACCCCGGCGAGGGGAGUGAAAAAGAACCUGAAACCGUGUACGUACAAGCAGUGGGAGCCUCUUUAUGGGGUGACUGCGUACCUUUUGUAUAAUGGGUCAGCGACUUAUAUUCUGUAGCAAGGUUAACCGUAUAGGGGAGCCGAAGGGAAACCGAGUCUUAACUGGGCGUUAAGUUGCAGGGUAUAGACCCGAAACCCGGUGAUCUAGCCAUGGGCAGGUUGAAGGUUGGGUAACACUAACUGGAGGACCGAACCGACUAAUGUUGAAAAAUUAGCGGAUGACCUGUGGCUGGGGGUGAAAGGCCAAUCAAACCGGGAGAUAGCUGGUUCUCCCCGAAAGCUAUUUAGGUAGCGCCUCGUGAACUCAUCUUCGGGGGUAGAGCACUGUUUCGGCUAGGGGGCCAUCCCGGCUUACCAACCCGAUGCAAACUACGAAUACCGAAGAAUGUUAUCACGGGAGACACACGGCGGGUGCUAACGUCCGUCGUGAAGAGGGAAACAACCCAGACCGCCAGCUAAGGUCCCAAAGUCAUGGUUAAGUGGGAAACGAUGUGGGAAGGCACAGACAGCCAGGAUGUUGGCUUAGAAGCAGCCAUCAUUUAAAGAAAGCGUAAUAGCUCACUGGUCGAGUCGGCCUGCGCGGAAGAUGUAACGGGGCUAAACCAUGCACCGAAGCUGCGGCAGCGACACUAUGUGUUGUUGGGUAGGGGAGCGUUCUGUAAGCCGUUGAAGGUGUGCUGUGAGGCAUGCUGGAGGUAUCAGAAGUGCGAAUGCUGACAUAAGUAACGAUAAAGCGGGUGAAAAGCCCGCUCGCCGGAAGACCAAGGGUUCCUGUCCAACGUUAAUCGGGGCAGGGUGAGUCGACCCCUAAGGCGAGGCCGAAAGGCGUAGUCGAUGGGAAACAGGUUAAUAUUCCUGUACUUGGUGUUACUGCGAAGGGGGGACGGAGAAGGCUAUGUCAGCCGGGCGACGGUUGUCCCGGUUUAAGCAUGUAGGCGGAGGUUCCAGGUAAAUCCGGUACCUUUUAACGCUGAGGUGUGAUGACGAGGCACUACGGUGCUGAAGUGAUAAAUGCCCUGCUUCCAGGAAAAGCCUCUAAGCAUCAGGUAACACGAAAUCGUACCCCAAACCGACACAGGUGGUCAGGUAGAGAAUACCAAGGCGCUUGAGAGAACUCGGGUGAAGGAACUAGGCAAAAUGGUGCCGUAACUUCGGGAGAAGGCACGCUGAUAUGUAGGUGAAGCCCCUGCGGGCGGAGCUGAAAUCAGUCGAAGAUACCAGCUGGCUGCAACUGUUUAUUAAAAACACAGCACUGUGCAAACACGAAAGUGGACGUAUACGGUGUGACGCCUGCCCGGUGCCGGAAGGUUAAUUGAUGGGGUUAGCGGCAACGCGAAGCUCUUGAUCGAAGCCCCGGUAAACGGCGGCCGUAACUAUAACGGUCCUAAGGUAGCGAAAUUCCUUGUCGGGUAAGUUCCGACCUGCACGAAUGGCGUAAUGAUGGCCAGGCUGUCUCCACCCGAGACUCAGUGAAAUUGAACUCGCUGUGAAGAUGCAGUGUACCCGCGGCAAGACGGAAAGACCCCGUGAACCUUUACUAUAGCUUGACACUGAACACUGGUCCUUGAUGUGUAGGAUAGGUGGGAGGCUUUGAAGCGUGGACGCCAGUCUGCGUGGAGCCGCCCUUGAAAUACCACCCUUUAAUGGCUGGUGUUCUAACGUAGACCCGUGAUCCGGGUUGCGGACAGUGUCUGGUGGGUAGUUUGACUGGGGCGGUCUCCUCCCAAAGAGUAACGGAGGAGCACGAAGGUUGGCUAAUCCUGGUCGGACAUCAGGAGGUUAGUGCAAUGGCAUAAGCCAGCUUGACUGCGAGCGUGACGGCGCGAGCAGGUGCGAAAGCAGGUCAUAGUGAUCCGGUGGUUCUGAAUGGAAGGGCCAUCGCUCAACGGAUAAAAGGUACUCCGGGGAUAACAGGCUGAUACCGCCCAAGAGUUCAUAUCGACGGCGGUGUUUGGCACCUCGAUGUCGGCUCAUCACAUCCUGGGGCUGAAGUAGGUCCCAAGGGUAUGGCUGUUCGCCAUUUAAAGUGGUACGCGAGCUGGGUUUAGAACGUCGUGAGACAGUUCGGUCCCUAUCUGCCGUGGGCGCUGGAGAAUUGAGGGGGGCUGCUCCUAGUACGAGAGGACCGGAGUGGACGCAUCACUGGUGUUCGGGUUGUCAUGCCAAUGGCACUGCCCGGUAGCUAAAUGCGGAAGAGAUAAGUGCUGAAAGCAUCUAAGCACGAAACUUGCCCCGAGAUGAGUUCUCCCUGAGACUUUAAGUCUCCUGAAGGAACGUUGAAGACGACGACGUUGAUAGGUCGGGUGUGUAAGCGCAGCGAUGCGUUGAGCUAACCGAUACUAAUGAACCGUGAGGCUUAACCUU